GCAGCCCAUGUCUGUAAAACCCCCUUUGCCCCCUGGGUAUGCUGCCGAGUGUGAGACAAAACGGUGGCGUCUGAAGGCUCACUGUCAUUCACAAGUGGCUCCAGUCUGGUUUGGGGGUCUACCCUUGCUCAUCCUGUCCCGCCACCCAAGUAAAAAGAGAAAUAACUACAGGCCUCUGUAACUGCUGUUUCCAGGUCAUUGUCACAAGUCACAAGUGGGUCUGGUUUGGGGGUCUACCCUAGCUCAUCCUGUCCUGCCACCCACACAAAAAGAGAAAUAACUACAGGCCUCUGCAACUGCUGUCUCUAGGAGCGGUACGCAAGUGUCCAUUGACAGCCCAGGCAACGGAUACCGACAUCACCAAUGUGCUGGCGCAUGACCGAGAAGGGGGGACGUCGCAAACGCCAGUGUGAAGGAGCAAGCUAGAUUCAUUGAUGAUCAUCAUGUUUUGAAUAAAGUUUUUUUGGAAAAAAAAGUAAA